GCCUGGCUAGCUCAGUUGGAAGAGCAUGUGACUCUUGAUCUCAGGGUCAUGAGUUCCAGCCCUAUGUUAGGUG
rnacentral:tRNA from 1 species